rnacentral:rRNA from 1 species
GACGAACGCUGGCGGCGUGCUUAACACAUGCAAGUCGAACGGAAAGGCCCUGCUUUUGUGGGGUGCUCGAGUGGCGAACGGGUGAGUAACACGUGAGUAACCUGCCCUUGACUUUGGGAUAACUUUAGGAAACUGGGGCUAAUACCGCAUAGGAGCUCCUGCUGCAUGGUGUGGGCUGGAAAGGUUCGGUGGUUGGGGUUGUACUCGCGGCUUAUCAGCUUGAUGGUGAGGUAGUGGCUUACCAAGGCUUUGACGGGUAGCCGGACUGAGAGGGUGACCGGCCACAUAGGCACUGAGGUGCGGGCAGGACUGCUACGGGAGGCAGGGGUGGGAGAUUUUGCACGAAGGGCGGAGGGCGUGUACAGGAACGUCGCGUGCGAGAUGACGGCCUUCAGGGUGUAAAGCGCGUGAGCCUGUGACGAAGCGUGAGUGACGGUAACGGAUAAGAAAGCAACGGCUAACUACGUG